CCUACGGGUGACAGCAGUGAGGAAUAUUGGUCAAUGGGCGAGAGUCUGAACCAGCCAAGUAGCGUGAAGGAUGACUGCCCUAUGGGUUGUAAACUUCUUUUAUAAAGGAAUAAAGUGCGGCACGUGUGCGUUUUUGUAUGUACUUUAUGAAUAAGGAUCGGCUAACUCCGUGCCAGCAGCCGCGGUAAUACGGAGGAUCCGAGCGUUAUCCGGAUUUAUUGGGUUUAAAGGGAGCGUAGAUGGGUUGUUAAGUCAGUUGUGAAAGUUUGCGGCUCAACCGUAAAAUUGCAAUUGAUACUGGCAGGCUGGAGUACAGUAGAGGUAGGCGGAAUUCGUGGUGUAGCGGUGAAAUGCUUAGAUAUCACGAAGAACUCCGAUUGCGAAGGCAGCUUACUAAACUGCAACUGACAUUGAUGCUCGAAAGUGUGGGUAUCAAACAGGAUUAGAUACCCGAGUAGUC
rnacentral:rRNA from 1 species